UCAUACAUUUUUAACCCCACCUUUAUCCCCAUAGAGGGCAUAUUAUUCAUGUGCAGUGAUAGAUGAAAAGUAGGUUAACACUGAAUGAGUAUUCUUGUGUUUAUUGUUAUAUGUGUAUCGUUAGUCUUUUUAAGUUAGUUGGUGGAAU